GUCUGAGCGCGCUGGGCUCGUCCCGGUGCCGGAAACGAGCGCUGCCCGGCGAGCGGCCUUGGGGACCCAGGGCUGGGGCCCGUGGCCUACACGAGGCCAGAGAUCCCCACUGGCCCCGAGAGGCCGCCCAGCGCUGGAGGUGCGGGCAGAGCUGCAGCCAAGCUCCCGAGGCGAUCUGCUGUUAGGCCACAACCUGGGCUCGCCUAGUGCCCGAGGCCCAAGUCGCAGUUCUCGUGAAAACGAAAAGGAGAUCGGCUAUGCCCUGGACACAAAGGAAGACCCGCGGGAUGUCCACCCCACAGGCCAAAAGCUCUUAAGACCAAAACGGUCUUUCAGGGCGCGGUUGCACGGUAGCACCCCCAUUUCCCAAACCGCAGAUUAAAACUGCGCGGGGUCCAGAGUUGGAGCGUGGAAGGGCCCGCAGGAGUGGAAGUGCGUACACCUGAUGCGGGACGGGAACUGCCGGGCGCGCACGGCUGCAGCCCCCACCCGCAGGCUGUUUCAGCCGGCAGCGUAUUUCUCAAUUGCCUGCGCCUGGUUUUUUGAAAUGUGCCGAA
rnacentral:lncRNA from 1 species